CGGCGUAAGCUGUCGCUAAAGGAUGGACCUGCGAUGCAUUAGCUAGUUGGUAAGGUAACGGCUUACCAAGGCGAUGAUGCAUAGCCGAGUUGAGAGACUGAUCGGCCACAUUGGGACUGAGACACGGCCCAAACUCCUACGGGGGCAGCAGUAGGGAAUCUUCCACAAUGGACGCAAGUCUGAUGGAGCAACGCCGCGUGAGUGAAGAAGGUUUUCGGAUCGUAAAGCUCUGUUGUUGGUGAAGAAGGAUAGAGGUAGUAACUGGCCUUUAUUUGACGGUAAUCAACCAGAAAGUCACGGCUAACUACGUGCCAGCAGUCGCGGUAAAU
rnacentral:rRNA from 1 species